GAUGAACGCUGGCGGCGUGCCUAAUACAUGCAAGUCGAGCGAACAGAUGAGGAGCUUGCUCCUCUGACGUUAGCGGCGGACGGGUGAGUAACACGUGGAUAACCUACCUAUAAGACUGGGAUAACUUCGGGAAACCGGAGCUAAUACCGGAUAAUAUAUUGAACCGCAUGGUUCAAUAGUGAAAGACGGUUUUGCUGUCACUUAUAGAUGGAUCCGCGCCGCAUUAGCUAGUUGGUAAGGUAACGGCUUACCAAGGCAACGAUGCGUAGCCGACCUGAGAGGGGGAUCGGCCACACGGGAACGGAGACCCGGUCCAGACUCCCAGGGGGGGCAGCAGUGGGAAACUUUCCGAAAUGGGGGAAAGCCUGACGGAGAAACCCCGGAUGGGUGAUGAAGGGCUUCGGUUGGUAAAACUCUUUUAUUAGGGAAAAAAAAAUGUGUAAGUAACUAUGCCCGUCUUGACGGUACCUAAUCAAAAAGCCCCGGCUAACUACGU
rnacentral:rRNA from 1 species